rnacentral:rRNA from 2 species
AGAUUAAGUUAUUAAGGGCGCACGGUGGAUGCCUUGGCACUAGAAGCCGAUGAAGGACGUUACUAACGACGAUAUGCUUUGGGGAGCUGUAAGUAAGCUUUGAUCCAGAGAUUUCCGAAUGGGGAAACCCAGCAUGAGUUAUGUCAUGUUAUCGAUAUGUGAAUACAUAGCAUAUCAGAAGGCACACCCGGAGAACUGAAACAUCUUAGUACCCGGAGGAAGAAAAAGAAAAUUCGAUUCCCUUAGUAGCGGCGAGCGAAACGGGAAGAGCCCAAACCAACAAGCUUGCUUGUUGGGGUUGUAGGACACUCUAUACGGAGUUACAAAGGACGACAUUAGACGAAUCAUCUGGAAAGAUGAAUCAAAGAAGGUAAUAAUCCUGUAGUCGAAAAUGUUGUCUCUCUUGAGUGGAUCCUGAGUACGACGGAACACGUGAAAUUCCGUCGGAAUCUGGGAGGACCAUCUCCUAAGGCUAAAUACUCUCUAGUGACCGAUAGUGAACCAGUACCGUGAGGGAAAGGUGAAAAGCACCCCGGAAGGGGAGUGAAAUAGAACCUGAAACCGUGUGCUUACAAGUAGUCAGAGCCCGUUAAUGGGUGAUGGCGUGCCUUUUGUAGAAUGAACCGGCGAGUUACGAUUUGAUGCAAGGUUAAGCAGUAAAUGUGGAGCCGUAGCGAAAGCGAGUCUGAAUAGGGCGUUUAGUAUUUGGUCGUAGACCCGAAACCAGGUGAUCUACCCUUGGUCAGGUUGAAGUUC